AACGAACGCUGGCGGCAGGCUUAACACAUGCAAGGCGAACGCCCCGCAAGGGGAGUGGCAGACGGGUGAGUAACGCGUGGGAAUCUACCCAUCUCUGCGGAAUAGCUCCGGGAAACUGGAAUUAAUACCGCAUACGCCCUACGGGGGUAAGAUUUAUCGGGGAUGGAUGAGCCCGCGUUGGAUUAGCUAGUUGGUGGGGUAAAGGCCUACCAAGGCGACGAUCCAUAGCUGGUCUGAGAGGAUGAUCAGCCACAUUGGGACUGAGACACGGCCCAAACUCCUACGGGAGGCAGCAGUGGGGAAUAUUGGACAAUGGGCGCAAGCCUGAUCCAGCCAUGCCGCGUGAGUGAUGAAGGUCUUAGGAUUGUAAAGCUCUUUCACCGGUGAAGAUAAUGACGGUAACCGGAGAAGAAGCCCCGGCUAACUUCGUGCCAGCCGCCGCCGUAA
rnacentral:rRNA from 1 species